UUCAAUCCUUUCUCAUGUGUUUCACUCCUUUAGUGUGUGUGUGUGUGUAUAUGUGUAUGUGUAGGUGAUGCUUUUGUCCACAAAAUAAUUAUUUAAAGAUGUUUUCUUUUUCUUUUUUUGUGCUUUGAAUUUUUUGUUAAUGUGUGUGUGUGUGUGUGUGUGUGUGUGUGUGUGUGUGUGUGUGUGUAGGUUGGGUUGGUGAGGCUCCUGUCCAGGUAACAUUUCCAAGGAAUAUUUAGACAUGAUUUCUCUUUGUCAACAAGGUAAGUGUAUUAUUUGUGAACUAGUUGAGUAAGGAAUUAUCACAGGGUAUCAUCUUGUACUUAGAUUAAGGAAAUUGUCUUGUGAGAGGUAGGGGUGUUUGUGUCAGGGAGAAGGGGGAGGAAGUUGAAAGACAGAUAGAGGAUAGAGCAAAGAAUGUGUGAUGUGUGGAGGAGGAAGAGAAGAAAUUGAAAGAUAGGUAGAGGAUAGAGCAAAGAAUGUGUGAUGUCUGUGUAGGAAGAAGAGAAAGAAAUGAAAAAGACAUGUAGGA